UUUUUUUUUUUUUAUCAAGCCGCGGCAGCACUUUCUUGAGCCUCCUUCGAACCCUUUCCGAGCCCACGCGGACGCCCACCUCCUCCUUGCUCUCCUCGCUGCCACUUCCCGCUGGUCUCCGCCGUUGCCUUCCUGCCCGCCAUCACGGGCGUUGUCCUUCCCACAUCUCGCCGAAAAAGAGAGACGUCCCACCGGUCUCGGCCGUCGCCUUUCUCCCCAUCGUCACCGGCGUCGGCCUUCCGCGCCGAUCUGCCUCAGGGCGUAUUAGUGCUUAGCCCUCUCCAAGCCAACGCCUUCGCCUUCUGACCCGACCGGUUCACAUUGCCCUCCUCGUUUUAGACGAUCAUCACCAUCUCCGACAGCCCUAGCGAGAGGCAUCAAUGGCGGAUUUCCAGACUUCUACUCAUCGCGCGAAGUGGAUUUUUAUCCCUCAGGAACUGUUGGAGAAGCAUGAGGCUGCAAAUCAAAGAGCUAUAAAAAUGCUUGAACAGAGGGCGGUUGGAUGCCACUGUUUGUUCCAGUAUGGGAUCACACGUUUGGAAGUAGAUGUUGACGGGUCACUGUCAUACCCAGAACCUGUACUCGACCAAAAGGAUAACGCUGAGAGAUCGGUUCCUAAGCCUCUUAAUUGUGAUGAGGAGCAGCUUAUGCGGGUAUUUUAUGAACAAAAGAUUCAAGAAGUUUGUGCAGCAUUUAAAUUCCCUCAUAAAAUCCAGGCAACAGCAAUAAUGUACUUCAAAAGGUUUUAUUUGCAGUGGUCGGUGAUGGAGCAUCAUCCGAAACACAUCAUGCUAACUUGCGUAUAUGCUUCCUGCAAAGUAGAAGAAAAUCAUGUAUCUGCUGAGGAACUUGGUAAGGGAAUUCAACAAGACCAUCAGAUGAUUCUUAAUAAUGAAAUGAUUGUUUAUCAGAGUUUGGGGUUUGAUCUAAUUGUUUAUGCUCCCUAUCGAUCCAUUGAAGGCUUUGUUGAGGACAUGGAGGAGUUUGGCCAAGCAAGGAAUGAAGAGCAAGAAAAAUUCCAGGAUUUGCGAGAAACAGCUAAGUUAGAGGUAGACAAGAUAAUGUUGACUGAUGCGCCUCUUCUCUACCCUCCUGGGCAGUUGGCUUUGGCUGCUUUGCGCAGGUCAAAUGAGGCGCACAGAGUUCUUGAUUUUGAAAGAUACUUGGAAAGCAUAUUUUCUCGGCAGCGUUCUAGCCACUCUAUAUCACAGCUUAAUGAAUCAAUGAAGACCAUUGAUUUUAUGUACAGCUUGGGAAACUCAAAAUCCCUUCCACAAAGGACAUGAGACAUAUCGAUCGGAAGCUGAAGAGUUGUUGGGAUCCAAGCUCACAGGACGAAAGCAAGAAGCGUGAGAAGAAAUCAAAGCACAAAUCAAAAAGAACAGCAAGUGAAAUGCAGGGUGCACCAGCAGAAGUAAGAAAAUUUCAAGGGGCAACCUGAAAAGGUCACAAGGGAUUGAAGAGGAUGUGCGCAAAAUAUUCUGUACCAUGUAUAACUGAAAAAUCUUCAGUCAUCCUUCCACGUCUUUGUUUCCUUUGAAGCCUACAGGUUGAUAUAGGCAACUGCAUGUCUACAGUGCUAUUUGGUUGCUGGUGCCAAGAUUUCAACUACAAAUUUGGAUGACUUCAACGACCGAGCUAUUAAUUAUUGUCACUUGCGCAUGUGGAUGAGUACAAACCUGGAUUUGCUAUUGAUAUAAGUAAGAAGCUCUUUAUUGAUGGUGCCUUUUCUUCUUGUGCUUGGCAUUUGAAUUGCAAGUUUCCAUUGCACAUCAAGGUUAUUUGUCCUGUAUUCAUGACUUUGUAGAUGACUAUGAUACUAGUUUCUUGGACGAUAACUGUAUUUGUGCAUUACUACUGUCUGUAUCGACAAAGAGGUGCCUUUGGACUAUUAACGAUUAUUGUUUACUCUAUGUGCAUGUGGUAUAGCUUUUGAUCUAUAAUU